rnacentral:rRNA from 1 species
UGUACGCCGGGCGGGCAGGCCUAACACAUGCAAGUCGAGCGGGUAGCACAGGGAGCCUGCUCCUGGGUGGCGAGCGGCGGACGGGUGAGUAUGUCUGGGAAUCUGCCCGAUGGAGGGGGAUAACUACUGGAACGGUAGCUAAUACCGCAUAAUGUCUUGGACCAAAGCGGGGGACCUUCGGGCCUCUCACCAUCGGAUGUGCCCAGAUGGGAUUAGCUAGUAGGUGAGGUAAUGGCUCACCUAGGCGACGAUCCCUAGCUGGUCUGAGAGGAUGACCAGCCACACUGGAACUGAGACACGGUCCAGACUCCUACGGGAGGCAGCAGUGGGGAAUAUUGCACAAUGGGCGCAAGCCUGAUGCAGCCAUGCCGCGUGUAUGAUGAAGGCCUUCGGGUUGUAAAGCACUUUCAGCGAGGAGGAAGGGGUCAGUGUUAAUAUCAUCAUUCAUUGACGUUACUUGCAGAAGAAGCACCGGCUAACUCCGUGCCAGCAGCCGCGGUAAUACGGAGGGUGCAAGCGUUUUCGGAAUUACUGGGCGUAAAGCGCACGCAGGCGGUUUGUUAAGUAAGAUGUGAAAUCCCCGAGCUUAACCUGGGAACUGCAUUUGAAACUGGCAAGCUAGAGUCUUGUAGAGGGGGGUAGAAUUCCAGGUGUAGCGGUGAAAUGCGUAGAUUCGAGAGGAAUACCGGUGGCGAAGGCGGCCCCCUGGACAAAGACUGA